rnacentral:rRNA from 1 species
GGGUUGUGAGGUUAAGCGAACAAGCGUACACGGUGGAUGCCCUGGCAGUCAGAGGCGAUGAAGGACGUGCUAAUCUGCGAAAAGCGCCGGUAAGGUGAUAUGAACCGUUAUAACCGGCGAUGUCCGAAUGGGGAAACCCGGUGCACUUCGGUGCAUCAUCGUUAGCUGAAUACAUAGGCUAACGAGGCGAACCGGGGGAACUGAAACAUCUAAGUACCCCGAGGAAAAGAAAUCAACCGAGAUUCCCCCAGUAGCGGCGAGCGAACGGGGAACAGCCCAGAGCCUGAAUCAGUUUGUGUGUCAGUGGAACGGUCUGGAAAGGCCGGCGAUACAGGGUGACAGCCCCGUACACGAAGGCACACAGGUUGUGAGCUCGAUGAGUAGGGCGGGACACGUGAUAUCCUGUCUGAAGAUGGGGGGACCAUCCUCCAAGGCUAAAUACUCCUGACUGACCGAUAGUGAACCAGUACCGUGAGGGAAAGGCGAAAAGAACCCCGGCGAGGGGAGUGAAACAGAACCUGAAACCGUGUACGUACAAGCAGUGGGAGCCUUCGUAAGAGGGUGACUGCGUACCUUUUGUAUAAUGGGUCAGCGACUUAUAUUCUGUAGCAAGGUUAACCGUAUAGGGGAGCCGAAGGGAAACCGAGUCUUAAUUGGGCGUUAAGUUGCAGGGUAUAGACCCGAAACCCGGUGAUCUAGCCAUGGGCAGGUUGAAGGUUGGGUAACACUAACUGGAGGACCGAACCGACUAAUGUUGAAAAAUUAGCGGAUGACCUGUGGCUGGGGGUGAAAGGCCAAUCAAACCGGGAGAUAGCUGGUUCUCCCCGAAAGCUAUUUAGGUAGCGCCUCGUGAACUCAUCUCCGGGGGUAGAGCACUGUUUCGGCUAGGGGGCCAUCCCGGCUUACCAACCCGAUGCAAACUGCGAAUACCGGAGAAUGUUAUCACGGGAGACACACGGCGGGUGCUAACGUCCGUCGUGAAGAGGGAAACAACCCAGACCGCCAGCUAAGGUCCCAAAGUCAUGGUUAAGUGGGAAACGAUGUGGGAAGGCCCAGACAGCCAGGAUGUUGGCUUAGAAGCAGCCAUCAUUUAAAGAAAGCGUAAUAGCUCACUGGUCGAGUCGGCCUGCGCGGAAGAUGUAACGGGGCUAAACCAUGCACCGAAGCUGCGGCAGCGACACUAUGUGUUGUUGGGUAGGGGAGCGUUCUGUAAGCCUGCGAAGGUGUGCUGUGAGGCAUGCUGGAGGUAUCAGAAGUGCGAAUGCUGACAUAAGUAACGAUAAAGCGGGUGAAAAGCCCGCUCGCCGG